UACGUAGGGUGCAAGCGUUGUCCGGAAUUAUUGGGCGUAAAGAGCUCGUAGGCGGUUUGUCGCGUCGAAUGUGAAAACCCGGGGCUCAACCCCGGGCCUGCAUUCGAUACGGGCAGACUAGAGUUCGGUAGGGGAGUCUGGAAUUCCUGGUGUAGCGGUGAAAUGCGUAGAUAUUGGGAGGAACACCAGUGGCGAAGGCGGCUCACUGGACCGGUACUGACGCUGAGGCGCGAAAGCGUGGGGAGCAAACGGG
rnacentral:rRNA from 1 species